rnacentral:lncRNA from 1 species
GUAGUGUCUAGGACUGGUUUGCUGCCUUGUUGCACAGCAAUGUUUUGUGGGCACUUGUGAGGACCUGUCGUGGCGGACCAUUUUGAACCCUUUGUCGUACGACCAUUUAGAACUUGUGAAGUCUAUGUUUGUAAUUUGCAUUACCUAUCAAGUGUUUGCUAAAAUAUCUGCUUAUGGGAUCUUGAGUUAAACGCUUCUAUUAACCCGUCUUCUCUUUUGCAGGUUCUU